AUUGAACGCUGGCGGCAGGCCUAACACAUGCAAGUCGAGCGGAGCGGCGGAGGGGUGAGGAAUGACUAGGAAUCUGCAAGGUAGGGGGGGAUAACGUCAGGAAACGGGCGCUGAUACCGCAUACUAUAAGAUGAGCAUAGGUCGGAUUAGCUAGUGGGUGGGGUAGAGGAAUACCAAGUCGACGAUCCGUAACUGGUCUGAGAGGAGGAACAGUCACACUGGAACUGAUACACGGUCCAGACUCCUACGUGAGGCAGCAGUGGGGAAUAUUGGACAAUGGUCGCAAGCCUUAUCCAGCCAUGCCGCGUGUGUGAAGAAGGUCUUCGGAUUGUAAAGCACUUUAAGUUGGGAGGCGUUACCAGCAGAAUAAGCACCGGCUAACUUCGUGCCAGCAGCCGCGGUAAUAC
rnacentral:rRNA from 1 species